rnacentral:rRNA from 1 species
UGGGGGAUAUUGCACAAUGGGCGAAAGCCUGAUGCAGCGACGCCGCGUGGGGGAUGAAGGCCUUCGGGUUGUAAACUUCUUUUGCUCUGAACAAGGCAUGCUAAUGGGUGUGUUGAGUGUAGGGGUUGAUUAGCGCCGGCUAACUACGUGCCAGCAGCCGCGGUAAUACGUAGGGCGCGAGCGUUGUCCGGAAUUAUUGGGGGUAAAGGGCUUGUAGGUGGCUGGUUGCGUCUGUCGUGAAAGCUCAUGGCUUAACUGUGGGUUUGCGGUGGGUACGGGCUGGCUUGAGUGCAGUAGGGGAGGCUGGAAUUCCUGGUGGAGCGGUGGAAUGCGCAGAUAUCAGGAGGAAUACCGGUGGCGAAGGCGGGUCUCUGGGCUGUUACUGACACUGAGGAGCGAAAGCAUGGGGAGCGAACAGG